rnacentral:rRNA from 1 species
GACGAACGCUGGCGGCGUGCUUAACACAUGCAAGUCGAACGGAAAGGCCCUUCUUUUGUGGGGUGCUCGAGUGGCGAACGUGUGAGUAACACUUGAGUAACCUGCCCUUUACUUUGGGAUAACUUCAGGAAACUGGGGCUAAUACCGGAUAGGAUCUCCUGCUGCAUGGUGGGGGUUGGAAAGUUUCGGCGGUUGGGGAUGGACUCGCGGCUUAUCAGCUUGUUGGUGGGGUAGUGGCUUACCAAGGCUUUGACGGGUAGCCGGCCUGAGAGGGUGACCGGCCACAUUGGGACUGAGAUACGGCCCAGACUCCUACGGGAGGCAGCAGUGGGGAAUAUUGCACAAUGGGCGGAAGCCUGAUGCAGCAACGCCGCGUGCGGGAUGACGGCCUUCGGGUUGUAAACCGCUUUCGCCUGUGACGAAGCGUGAGUGACGGUAAUGGGUAAAGAAGCACCGGCUAACUACGUG